GACGUAGGGCGCGAGCGUUGUCCGGAUUUAUUGGGCGUAAAGAGCUCGUAGGCGGCUUGUCGCGUCGACUGUGAAAACCCGCGGCUCAACUGCGGGCCUGCAUCCGAUACUGCCCGACUAGAGGUAGGUAGGGGAGAUCGGAAUUCCUGGUGUAGCGGUGAAAUGCGCAGAUAUCAGGAGGAACACCGGUGGCGAAGGCGGAUCUCUGGGCCUUACCUGACGCUGAGGCGCGAAAGCUAGGGGAGCAAACAGG
rnacentral:rRNA from 1 species